rnacentral:rRNA from 1 species
CGGACGGGUGAGUAACGCGUGGGUAACCUGCCUUGCACUGGGGGAUAACACUUAGAAAUAGGUGCUAAUACCGCAUAAGCGCACAGCUUCGCAUGAAGCGGUGUGAAAAACUCUGGUGGUAUACGAUGGUUCCGCGUCUGAUUAGCUAGUUGGUGGGGUAAUGGCCUACCAAGGCAACGAUCAGUAGCCGGCCUGAGAGGGUGAACGGCCACAUUGGGACUGAGACACGGCCCAAACUCCUACGGAAGGCAGCAG